rnacentral:lncRNA from 1 species
UGCUGGGGGUGGGUGGCAUGGGAAGCACAUCCUGCCUGGGGCCCGUCCAGGCACAUUGCUGGGGCUUGAGCACUUCUGCCUGCCUCUGUCAUCUCCUGCUUGAUGCAGAAGAUGCUGGGCUGAAAUGGCUGCUGGAGCCCUACAUAUGGAUGGACCCCACAGAACCACACAACUUUGCAGGGGAUCACACUGGACUCCUGGCGCUUACCCAGGAGUCUGUUAUCUGGCAGUGCUGA